rnacentral:rRNA from 1 species
UACGUAGGGGGCAAGCGUUGUCCGGAUUUAUUGGGCGUAAAGAGCGUGUAGGCGGCUAGAUAGGUCCGUUGUGAAAACUCCAGGCUCAACCUGGAGACGCCACCCGAUACUGCUGUGGCUAGAGUCCGGAAGAGGCGAGUGGAAUUCCUGGUGUAGCGGUGAAAUGCGCAGAUAUCAGGAGGAACACCGAUGGCGAAGGCAGCUCGCUGGGACGGUACUGACGCUGAGGCGCGAAAGCGUGGGGAGCAAACAGG